UGUCGGUAAAACUCGUGCCAGCCACCGCGGUUAGACGAGCAGGCCCAAGUUGAUAAUUCACGGCGCAAAGGGUGGUUAGGGAAAACAAAAACUAAAGUCGAACUAGCUCAUUACUGUGAUAAGCCUAUAUGAUAAAAUGAAGCCCACCCACGAAAGUGACUUUAUUACCCCCGAACCCACGAAAGCUAAGAAACAAACUGGGAUUAGAUACCCCACUAUGA
rnacentral:rRNA from 1 species